UUCGUUGAUGAUUUUUAGAGACGGCUAGAAUACCUGACUCAAUGGGGAAUAACCAAUUAGGUUCAACGACGAUUCCUAGAAACGAUUCGAAUACCUGACUUAGCUAGAGAUAAACAAGGUAUGAUGACGAUUCUUAGCGACGGCUAGAAUGCCCGACUUUGUGGGGGAAAGAAGUCAUUCAGUGAUGAUUCUCACCAACGAAUGGAAUACCUUACUUGACUAGGGAUAAUAUCCUCAAGGAGGUAAAAUGAUGAUUCUGAG
rnacentral:lncRNA from 1 species